CCUACGGGAGGCAGCAGUGGGGAAUAUUGGGCAAUGGAGGAAACUCUGACCCAGCAACGCCGCGUGAAUGAUGAAGGUCUUCGGAUUGUAAAGUUCUUUUCUAAGGGAAGAAGAAAGUGACGGUACCUUAGGAAUAAGCCUCGGCUAACUACGUGCCAGCAGCCGCGUUAAUACGUAGGAGGCAAGCGUUAUCCGGAAUUACUGGGCGUAAAGGGGGCGUAGGUGGUUUGACAAGGUGGUAGCGUAACUCCGGGGCUCAACCUCGGCACUACUACCAAAACUGUCGGACUUGAGUGCAGGAGGGGCAAAUGGAAUUCCUAGUGUAGCGGUGGAAUGCGUAGAUAUUAGGAGGAACACCAGUGGCGAAGGCGAUUUGCUGGACUGUAACUGACACUGAGGCACGAAAGCGUGGGGAGCAAACAGGAUUAGAUACCCCUGUAGUC
rnacentral:rRNA from 1 species